rnacentral:rRNA from 1 species
UACGUAGGGACCAAGCGUUGUUCGGAUUUACUGGGCGUAAAGGGCGCGUAGGCGGCGUGUUAAGUCAGCUGUGAAAUCUCCGAGCUUAACUCGGAACGGUCAGCUGAUACUGAUGUGCUAGAGUGCAGAAGGGGCAAUCGGAAUUCUUGGUGUAGCGGUGAAAUGCGUAGAUAUCAAGAGGAACACCUGAGGUGAAGACGGGUUGCUGGGCUGACACUGACGCUGAUGCGCGAAAGCCAGGGGAGCGAACGGG